GCUAGAUAUUUUAUAUACACCUAGGAUGGCUUGAGGGUGAGUAAAGCUUGGGCUAAUUUUCAUUUGAAAGUGAACUAAUCCUUUAAAGUAAUGAAAUACUCCAUAAAUAAAAAGGAUAACUACUGUACAUAAUCAUUUUAAGUUUAAGAAAGUUAAUUCUUUGAGGACCAGCAAAUUUCUCUUUUUUUUUUUUUCCUUUUUUCACAUUAUUUGUCUGAUAAAUUGUUUAAAUAUUUUCAAAAUGGAAGAGGCAUCCAUUUAAUAAAAUAAUUCCAUUUACCAUCAUAUUAAUCAUCCAUUGUGAAGGCCUCAUCGACACGACAGCCAGUGGCACAGUUCCUCAACAAACCGUCCAUACCGGCGUGAUGAAUACGAUCCUCAACUGGAUUGAACUGGAAUAAAUACUUUGAAUGUUGAGAUCCUAUCGGGCUUAUGAUAGCUACCUGAAUCGUAACAAAGCACUGUUUGCCAGAGGAGAACUGGCCCCCUGACUAAGCCUGGUUUCUCCCAAGGUUUUUUUCUCCAUUUUAACACCAAUUUGCCACUUGUCUGCCACCUGAUGUCACCUGAUGGAGUUUGGGUUCCUUGCCGCUGUCGCCUCUGGCUUGCUUAGUUGGGGACACUUGACUUGACAUUUUGAUAUUCAACAGUGCUUUUGAUCUGCCUGCAUUGACACUAUUCUUUAAGAGCUGCUGUGCAGUCAAACAAUGUACCAGUUAUCAAUGUAAAGCUGCUUUGACACAAUCUACAUUGUAAAAAGCGCUAUAUAAAUAAAGGUGACUUGACUUGA